rnacentral:tRNA from 2 species
GGGCUUAUAGUUUAAUUGGUUUGAAACAUUACCGCUUAUAACGGUGAUAUUGUAGGUUCGAGCCUUACUAAGCCUA